GAUGAACGCUGGCGGUAUGCCUAACACAUGCAAGUCGAACGGCCGCACGAGAAGCUUGCUCCCCUACUGUUGGCGACGGACGGAUGAGUAAGACGUAGAUCAGCUACCUCUAUGUCUGGGGUAACUUCGUAAAGCCGUUGCCACUACCGCCUAAUAUUAUGUACCGCAUGAUUCACAAGUGCUUGACGCUCUUGCUGUCUGUGUUAGAUGGUUCCGCGCUGCAUUAGCUAGUUGGUGAGGUAACGGCUUACCAAGGCAACGAUGCAUAGCCGACCUGAGAGGAUGAUCAGCCACACUGGAACUGAGACACGGUCCAGACUCCUACGGGAGGCAGCAGUGGGGAAUCUUCGGCAAUGGGCGAAAGCCUGACGGAGCAACGCCGCGUGAGUGAUGAAGGUCUUCGGGUCGUAAAGCUCUGUUGUUAGGGAAGAACAGAAGUGGAUGUAAAUGUGGACAUCUUGACGGUACCUAAUGAAAAAGCAACGGCUAACUACGUG
rnacentral:rRNA from 1 species